UUGUUUUUUUUUUUUAAUCUUUCAUUAAAUAAAUGUGCAAAAUAUUUUUCUGCUUUGCUCUUGUUCAGCGAAGCAUCAGUUCUGAUAACAGAGUUGAAUUAAGAAGUGUUUUGGAUACAAAGAAGAAACAUACUUGCUGGGGGAAAGAAGCCUGAGAGAUUCACGUCUCAGGACAGGAGUUAAAGCAGUAUCUGAGACCUGAGUUUGUAGGUGAGGAUUCUGUAAACAAACUUGGUGGCAGUUUUGUUUGCAAAAGUAUUUCACAAAGGCAUUCAGCAAUCCUCUGCACUGCUGUGUUGCUUUUACAGACACUGAGCUCAUUCUGAGCAGCUUCUUCAGGCCACUUGUGGCUCCCAGAAGAGGCCAGCACAGUGUAAGAGCCUGGAUAUGGGUUGGGCAAACAUGGUACAGCUAUAGGAUUUCUUUUUGACCUGGCCAUUGCCUGAUACACACGCAAGGCCAGUGUGUUUUGUGCAGCUUUUGGAAAGCUGAGAGCAGGAGCAGCACCUCUUUGCACAGAGCCACAUGCAGAGAGUGGAGCAGCAGAGAGGGCUGCACCAGCAGCUGCCCUAUGUGUUCCUGAAGCUGGCUUGUACAAAAUAGCAGGGCUUGGAGCAGGAAAGAAUGAAGGGAAGAAAAUCUGCCUUUCUCUUUUGCCUUGCAGUAAAUUGCUCUGCUUUUCUGCUCUGAACUGUGGCUUCCUUCUGUCUCUGGCACAGCUCCUGGCUUGCAGUCCUGCAGUUAGGAAGCAGGUGCUAGUGCCCCACCGAUUUGCCUGCAUUUCUCAUUCCAGAAAUGCCUCCCUUCUAAACUAAGGGAGCUAAGCUUAAGGAGAAGAGCUGCUGCUUGUCUACGUGGACAGGCACACAGGGCUGAGGCUAUUUUGCUGUGUCCAUGAGGUAUCAAUUACCAUUGGGAUGAAUAACCUAUUUCUGCUAGCAGUGGUAUGGCAGAAAUCUGUGGCAGCUGGGUUCAUUCGCAUAUUCAAAGGCAGAGUGGGGGCAGAGAUUUCCGGCUUUUCUUUGGCACAUGCUGGGUUAUGGUGCUUUCAAACUCUACUCUGAGGUUUUAAGACUAGAAACUACCUUGUUAAGAUGACACUAGUGGUAAACCAGCUGUGUGGGAUGGAGGGUGGAAAGUUCAUAGCAUCUCUUACCACUUCUUGCUGCGCAUCCUGAGCUGCUUUCUGGGGGUGCCUGUUGGGUGCAAGCCUGGGUCUGGUGAAGCAGGAGGGAUUUUCAGCUGCCUUCCUGAAUUUAGCCAAAUAACCCUCCCUUCCAAACAGCUCAGAACUCCUGCUGCUCUCUAACAGUGGAAUUGCAAGGAACUGAGCCAAAAAUCUGGAAGAUUUAAAUAAGCAGUAUAAAUGCAUUCCUUCCUUUCUUGUUGUUUACCUCUUGGUUCCUGCCUGUCAGGAGCACUGUGCCUUUCUCUCUCAUCUCAAAAUCACAGUGAAAAAGUAGAAACAAAACAUAUCUGUGGUCUCUGCCUGCUGAGUUGUACUGCUGAUGCCAGUGUCACAGCUGCUUGGUUGGAAAGCUGCUCUCCUUCUGCACAACAGAGCUCACUGGGAUUAUAAAGCAGGGUGAGGAGUCUGAGGAUUUAUCUGUAUUACAAGAGUGAUUCUUGGCAGCUGGAUGUUCACAGGGAAGAGGGAUGCCCCAUGGCUUUGCGUAAGGGGCUUUCUCCUAUUCCUGCCUACGGCAUAUUUGCCAAACACUUCCAUGACCCCAGAUCCAAGUGGUGAGAAGUAUUUCUGGACUAAUUGUGUUCUAUCUCUUAAUUUGAUUAAUUGAUUGAAUUCAGCUGUUGUAUUCUUCUUUGUUAAUCUAAAAUAUAUUGAGCUCUACCUAGGCAGAAAGACUUAUUUUCUUAGCUGUUAGUCCAGCCCUGUAUAAUUUUUCCUUUGUUCAAGGGAUCUAAGGGUUCAAUUAUUAUGUUUGUACUUUGGAGUGUAAGGUAUGUGGCUUAUAUAUAUAUAUUUUUUGAAACUUUUGAUAAGUGCUUUUAAAACCAUUCAAUUAUCAGUUUAUGAAUCACCAGCCACUACAGACUGUUGAGUUUCUUUGGGGAAGGAAAAAGGGAAAUGUUUCACCUGUGCUUUGUGUAGCAAACGUUGUCAAACUUUGCUUCUGGUACUGGACAAAAACUUGCUGCCAUUUUUGCACCCUGCUGAGGAACAGAGCAGCUUCACUGAGCCACCUCCCCUCCCCCCCCUUCCCUCCACCUGUGUAUCUGUUUGCUAUCUUCUUUCUGCUGUACCCUGUCUGUUCUUCACUGCUGUUUGCUUUUUCUGUUGCUGCUUUUGUGUUGCUCACUAAUCAUGAUGGGUUUCUUACAAAAAGAAACUCUAUCUCAUGGGGCCCCACAGGUUUCUGAGCUGCCAGGCACUGCGUCGCUGCAAGCACCCUCUGGUUCUCCCAUCACCUUUGCUGCAGUGUUGCUUUGACAGGGUGCAGGAGGCACCGUGAUCCAGAGGGGUCAGCAUGGAUUUUCCUGACACAGUUCUCAGCCCUGCAGUAGUUUCUCCAUCAGACCUGGAAGAGCACAGAGCCGGGCUGUGCCACACUGCUGCAACUCCAGACAGCUCCCACGCUGUUUGACCUAUGCUACAGACUUCUAGGCAUUGGGAGCAGCCCAGAAACCUCAUGGUGUUGCUUAUUUGUGGGCUGGGGAUGCAGUGUGGGCUGUUGGUCUGCAGCUGAGGAAAAUAGUCAAAAGCUUGUCUCUGAUGUGGCCAAAAUGUUUGCAAGGGGCUGUGGGUGUAGAAGCAUGGCUGCUGCUUUCCCUGCCUUGCUGGGCUGUGAGGUGACUGCAGACCUUCAGCUACAACCCCUGCAGCAACCAGAAACGUAAAAUCAAAACUUGUGCUGCUUCUUUCCAGCUAACCAGCAAGUAAACAGCACUUUAGGGAAUACAAAAACAGAGUUCACUGACCCAAGUGAAGUCCCAGGACAAAUACUUGUGCAGCAUUUAGAUGAGCCUUUCCAAAACUUGCCAAGAAGAUGGUUAUUUGGGAACAUGGUAGGAAAGUCACUUCAGUGCACCAGCAAUCUGAGCUGCCUGCAAAUGGGCAGGGCUGGUGGCACUGGCUGCCAAGGAGAUGUCAGUGCAGAGUGCUCCUUUUGUGUCCCCAUCCCUGGCACUUGAGGUAUGGAGGGAUGGUCUGAGCUGUGAUGAAGGCAGGAUGCCAGUUUCCAGCACCCCAGGGAGCAUGUUUAUGGGUAAGUAUUUGCACUGCAGUGAGCUUUGCAUAUUCAAGAGUUUCUUUGUUGUAGUCCAAGCUGCAGGUUCUGAGGCUUUUCUGGUUCUGUUCUGGCUCAGGGCUGAGGUGAUGCUGCUGGAGCUCAGAUGCCUGCUUACCAUUAUUCAUGGAUUUCCCAGCUGCUCAGUUUGCACUAAAGAAACCUCUGACCGUUGGGACAACUAAGAGUGACAGGGCAGCAAGAUGUUGUCCCAGCCAGCCAAGCACUGUGUGUUAGAUGAUGUCCUUGAAAUUGAGCCCCACACACUGACACAGCGCAUCAAGUCCUGCGUUCCCUGGAGCAGCUCUAGGUCAAGCAGCAGAGGACUGUCACAGGAGUUCAGGCACUAGUUCUGUGCUGAAGAACACAGCAGUGGCUUCGAAGGAGCAGGAGGAGUACUAUGACAAUGAAAUGCAUUUUUGUCUUUGUUUUAAGUUCUCUUUUAUUUUCCCUUCCCCUCCCAGGUUCCAGGAUUUCAGCCUCAGCUGUUUUCAUUUGGGAUUGCAAUGCUUGUUGUGUUCAUGUCACACCAAGUUGAUAUAAUGGAUAGGAAUUAGUUAAAAUAAUACCAAAGUUUGGCUCCUAUGUGGCUCCUCCUUUCUGCUUAUGUGAAACUGUCUCCAGUUUUCAGCCACCUCUCCUAAAAUCUGCAGGACUAAGCUCAUCGGGGUCCCAGGUCAGGAUUUGUGCCUUAGGCUGAGGUUGGAGCAGUGACCUCUGAGUGCUGGCUGGAUGUGGGGAGGGGCAGUGGAAGGGCAACUUUUAUUUAUUUUGAAUUGCUUUCUGGAACAGAAGUUGAAGGGAUGUGCACAUUAAAAGUAAAGUGGCAAGUCUUUUCUCUGUGUCUUUCAUAUAUGUGAUCCAGUUAAACCAUUGCCACGUAAGUCUUCUUAUGCUGUUAAUUUGCCCAGUAGUCAGUGUUGCUCUGUUACGUUGCACUUCUGGCUUUAAUGAACAGCUUUGUACAAUAAUAAAUCUGGGUUUAAAACAAA